UACGUAGGGUGCGAGCGUUAAUCGGAAUUACUGGGCGUAAAGGGUGCGCAGGCGGUUCUGCAAGUCAGGUGUGAAAGCCCCGGGCUUAACCUGGGAAUGGCGCUUGAAACUACAGGACUGGAGUAUGGCAGAGGGAGGUGGAAUUCCACGUGUAGCGGUGAAAUGCGUAGAGAUGUGGAGGAACACCGAUGGCGAAGGCAGCCUCCUGGGCCAAUACUGACGCUCAUGCACGAAAGCGUGGGGAGCAAACAGG
rnacentral:rRNA from 1 species